CACCCUGACCCUGGGGAUCCCUCCACCCCUCACGGUGCCAUGGGAGGGGUUAGACAGGAGAUGCAUAGAGCAAGGGGACCAGAGUUUGUCUGGGCCUCCCCUCCAGGGCUCUGCCAGGCCUCCCAGGACUGGGACCUCUCCCCUCACACUGCCCUGUGCCCUGGGAGUGCCCGGCCUCACAAGCACAACCCGUCUGUCUGUCUUCCAGUUGGUACUCCUGGGGUGACUGUGCUCCCCAUGGUCGCGGGCUGCAAGGCCCCAGAAGCAGGCGGAAAUGUGAUACUGGCCUGCCUGGUGACGGGGACCCAAUCAGUCAACUGGCACAGAGGGACAGAGAAGCUGUCCACAAAGGACGUUGUGAUUGUGAAUCGCCCGGAAGGGGUCACCUACCUCUACUACCAAAACGUCACCUGGAACCCUAUCCCCGUCAUCUGCAGCGCCAAUGACAUGUCCAAGACCCUCCAGUGGCCAGCCCCUCCGGCCUCCUCCGCCCACAAGGACACACAUCCUCCAGAGGCUGUCCGUGGCCAGGGCGCACCCGGGCUCCUCCCCGCAGCCACCACGGCGCCCAGCAGCCUCGCCGUCCGGGUCCUGGCCACGCCGGGUGCUCACGCCUCUGCCGGGGCGGCCUCCUGGCUCCUGUGCGAGGUGGCGGGCUUCUCUCCCACGGAGCUGGUCCUCACCUGGCAGGAGGGCCCGCGCCAGGUGGACACGGCUUGGUUUGCCACUGCGGAGGCCACGGCCAACCUUGGAGACAGCACGUUCCGCACCUGGAGUGUCCUGCGGGUCCCGGCCGCCCCGCGCCGGCCGCCGGCCACCUACAUGUGCACCGUCAGGCACCCGGCCUCAGGGAGGCUGCUCAACGCCAGCUGGAGCCUGGACGCUGCAGCUCCACAGGCUGCACGGGGCUGCCAAGACGGCCCUGCCUGCCGGGAUGGUCACGAGGGAUCCGUUCAGCAGGCCCCGGACCCCGGCCUGGCUCCCCGGUGGCUCUCAGUCUCCAUGGCGACGGACCGCUGUUCUUUAAAUGUCCAUUUCGUCAAGGACCCCGAGUCUGGAGCACACGCUCGCUAGGAACCAAUCAUUAAUUACUCAAAGAAUAA